UACGAAGGGGGCUAGCGUUGCUCGGAAUUACUGGGCGUAAAGGGCGCGUAGGCGGGAUGGCAAGUCGGUCGUGAAAUCCCUCGGCUCAACCGAGGAACGUCGAUCGAUACUGCUGUUCUUGAGGAUUGCAGAGGAGACUGGAAUUCCCGGUGUAGCGGUGAAAUGUGUAGAGAUCGGGAGGAACACCGGUGGCGAAGGCGGGCCUCUGGGCAAUUCCUGACGCUGAGGCGCGAAAGCGUGGGGAGCAAACGGG
rnacentral:rRNA from 1 species